rnacentral:rRNA from 1 species
GGGUUGUGAGGUUAAGCGACUAAGCGUACACGGUGGAUGCCCUGGCAGUCAGAGGCGAUGAAGGACGUGCUAAUCUGCGAAAAGCGUCGGUAAGGUGAUAUGAACCGUUACAGCCGGCGAUGUCCGAAUGGGGAAACCCAGUGCAAUUCGUUGCACUAUCGUUAACUGAAUACAUAGGUUAACGAGGCGAACCGGGGGAACUGAAACAUCUAAGUACCCCGAGGAAAAGAAAUCAACCGAGAUUCCCCCAGUAGCGGCGAGCGAACGGGGAGCAGCCCGGAGUCUGAAUCAGCUUGUGUGUUAGUGGAAGCGUCUGGAAAGUCGCAGGGUACAGGGUGAUACUCCCGUACACUAAAACACACAGGUUGUGAACUCGAAGAGUAGGGCGGGACACGUGGUAUCCUGUCUGAAUAUGGGGGGACCAUCCUCCAAGGCUAAAUACUCCUGACUGACCGAUAGUGAACCAGUACCGUGAGGGAAAGGCGAAAAGAACCCCGGCGAGGGGAGUGAAAAAGAACCUGAAACCGUGUACGUACAAGCAGUAGGAGCCCACUUGUUGGGUGACUGCGUACCUUUUGUAUAAUGGGUCAGCGACUUAUAUUCUGUAGCAAGGUUAACCGUAUAGGGGAGCCGCAGGGAAACCGAGUCUUAACUGGGCGUUAAGUUGCAGGGUAUAGACCCGAAACCCGGUGAUCUAGCCAUGGGCAGGUUGAAGGUUGGGUAACACUAACUGGAGGACCGAACCGACUAAUGUUGAAAAAUUAGCGGAUGACUUGUGGCUGGGGGUGAAAGGCCAAUCAAACCGGGAGAUAGCUGGUUCUCCCCGAAAGCUAUUUAGGUAGCGCCUCGUGAAUUCAUCUUCGGGGGUAGAGCACUGUUUCGGCUAGGGGGUCAUCCCGACUUACCAACCCGAUGCAAACUACGAAUACCGAAGAAUGUUAUCACGGGAGACACACGGCGGGUGCUAACGUCCGUCGUGAAGAGGGAAACAACCCAGACCGCCAGCUAAGGUCCCAAAGUCAUGGUUAAGUGGGAAACGAUGUGGGAAGGCCCAGACAGCCAGGAUGUUGGCUUAGAAGCAGCCAUCAUUUAAAGAAAGCGUAAUAGCUCACUGGUCGAGUCGGCCUGCGCGGAAGAUGUAACGGGGCUAAACCAUGCACCGAAGCUGCGGCAGCGACACUAUGUGUUGUUGGGUAGGGGAGCGUUCUGUAAGCCGUUGAAGGUGGCCUGUGAGGGUUGCUGGAGGUAUCAGAAGUGCGAAUGCUGACAUAAGUAACGAUAAUGCGGGUGAAAAACCCGCACGCCGGAAGACCAAGGGUUCCUGUCCAACGUUAAUCGGGGCAGGGUGAGUCGACCCCUAAGGCGAGGCCGAAAGGCGUAGUCGAUGGGAAACAGGUUAAUAUUCCUGUACUCGGUGUUACUGCGAAGGGGGGACGGAGAAGGCUAUGUUGGCCGGGCGACGGUUGUCCCGGUUUAAGCAUGUAGGCGGAUGUUCCAGGUAAAUCCGGAACGUCACUAACGCUGAGGUGUGAUGACGAGGCACUACGGUGCUGAAGUGACAAAUGCCCUGCUUCCAGGAAAAGCCUCUAAGCAUCAGGUAACAUCAAAUCGUACCCCAAACCGACACAGGUGGUCAGGUAGAGAAUACCAAGGCGCUUGAGAGAACUCGGGUGAAGGAACUAGGCAAAAUGGUGCCGUAACUUCGGGAGAAGGCACGCUGAUGGUAGGUGAAGCGACUUGCUCGUGGAGCUGAAAUCAGUCGAAGAUACCAGCUGGCUGCAACUGUUUAUUAAAAACACAGCACUGUGCAAACACGAAAGUGGACGUAUACGGUGUGACGCCUGCCCGGUGCCGGAAGGUUAAUUGAUGGGGUUAUCCGUAAGGAGAAGCUCUUGAUCGAAGCCCCGGUAAACGGCGGCCGUAACUAUAACGGUCCUAAGGUAGCGAAAUUCCUUGUCGGGUAAGUUCCGACCUGCACGAAUGGCGUAAUGAUGGCCAGGCUGUCUCCACCCGAGACUCAGUGAAAUUGAACUCGCUGUGAAGAUGCAGUGUACCCGCGGCAAGACGGAAAGACCCCGUGAACCUUUACUAUAGCUUGACACUGAACACUGGUCCUUGAUGUGUAGGAUAGGUGGGAGGCUUUGAAGUGUGGACGCCAGUCUGCAUGGAGCCAUCCUUGAAAUACCACCCUUUAAUGGCUGGUGUUCUAACGUGGGCCCCUAAUCGGGGUUGCGGACAGUGUCUGGUGGGUAGUUUGACUGGGGCGGUCUCCUCCUAAAGAGUAACGGAGGAGCACGAAGGUCAGCUAAUCCUGGUCGGACAUCAGGAGGUUAGUGCAAUGGCAUAAGCUGGCUUGACUGCGAGCGUGACGGCGCGAGCAGGUGCGAAAGCAGGUCAUAGUGAUCCGGUGGUUCUGAAUGGAAGGGCCAUCGCUCAACGGAUAAAAGGUACUCCGGGGAUAACAGGCUGAUACCGCCCAAGAGUUCAUAUCGACGGCGGUGUUUGGCACCUCGAUGUCGGCUCAUCACAUCCUGGGGCUGAAGUAGGUCCCAAGGGUAUGGCUGUUCGCCAUUUAAAGUGGUACGCGAGCUGGGUUUAGAACGUCGUGAGACAGUUCGGUCCCUAUCUGCCGUGGGCGCUGGAGAAUUGAGGGGGGCUGCUCCUAGUACGAGAGGACCGGAGUGGACGCAUCACUGGUGUUCGGGUUGUCAUGCCAAUGGCAUUGCCCGGUAGCUAAAUGCGGAAGAGAUAAGUGCUGAAAGCAUCUAAGCACGAAACUUGCCCCGAGAUGAGUUCUCCCUGACUCCUUGAGAGUCCUGAAGGAACGUUGAAGACGACGACGUUGAUAGGCCGGGUGUGUAAGCGCAGCGAUGCGUUGAGCUAACCGGUACUAAUGAACCGUGAGGCUUAACCUUACAACGCCGAAG